CAAAUUAAAGCUUUAAAGAAGCAUUUUAGUUACAUUAAAAAAAUUACUGGAGUCAGUAUAAUUUGA
rnacentral:tRNA from 1 species